GAUGAACGCUGGCGGCGUGCCUAAUACAUGCAAGUCGAGCGAACGGACGAGAAGCUUGCUUCUCUGAUGUUAGCGGCGGACGGGUGAGUAACACGUGGAUAACCUACCUAUAAGACUGGGAUAACUUCGGGAAACCGGAGCUAAUACCGGAUAAUAUUUUGAACCGCAUGGUUCAAAAGUGAAAGACGGUCUUGCUGUCACUUAUAGAUGGAUCCGCGCUGCAUUAGCUAGUUGGUAAGGUAACGGCUUACCAAGGCAACGAUGCAUAGCCGACCUGAGAGGGUGAUCGCCCACACUGGAACUGAGACACGGUCCAGACUCCUACGGGAGGCAGCAGUAGGGAAUCUUCCGCAAUGGGCGAAAGCCUGACGGAGCAACGCCGCGUGAGUGAUGAAGGUCUUCGGAUCGUAAAACUCUGUUAUUAGGGAAGAACAUAUGUGUAAGUAACUGUGCACAUCUUGACGGUACCUAAUCAGAAAGCCACGGCUAACUACGUG
rnacentral:rRNA from 1 species